GUGGGGAAUUUUGGACAAUGGGGGCAACCCUGAUCCAGCAAUGCCGCGUGCAGGAAGAAGGCCUUCGGGUUGUAAACUGCUUUUGUACGGAACGAAAAGGCUCUGGUUAAUACCUGGGGCACAUGACGGUACCGUAAGAAUAAGCACCGGCUAACUACGUGCCAGCAGCCGCGGUAAUACGUAGGGUGCAAGCGUUAAUCGGAAUUACUGGGCGUAAAGCGUGCGCAGGCGGUGCUGUAAGACAGGCGUGAAAUCGCCGGGCUUAACCUGGGAAUGGCGCUUGUGACUGCAGUGCUGGAGUGUGGCAGAGGGGGAUGGAAUUCCGCGUGUAGCAGUGAAAUGCGUAGAUAUGCGGAGGAACACCGAUGGCGAAGGCAAUCCCCUGGGCCUGCACUGACGCUCAUGCACGAAAGCGUGGGGAGCAACAGGAUUAGAAACCCUAGUAGUCC
rnacentral:rRNA from 1 species